UCUGUUCUGUUUAAAUGCAACAUAUCUGAGCUGAGAUUUCAGCAUACAACACAGAAAUGUUAUUUAUCUGACAUACCUUGUAUGUAUUGUUGACAUUAUGGAUUAGCCGUGUCGUGCUAACCGUUAGCUACAUCUCACCUGCAUGCGUUGAAUCGACGGCGGAAGUGGUUUAUUUGGCUUUAUCGUGACAAAAAUAAUGACCGCUAUCAACACACUUUUCACACCGGUGAGCAGUGGUGAAGUGGAUUUUACUGCAGGGAAUAUUUGAAUCAUUUGUGUGGAGGUUUUGCUGCUCUUUUUCCGUCGUGAAAAGUACCGCUAGGCUACACCGACUUCAAGCUAACCACCUCUCACUGAGAAGGAAUCUAUAGACCUAACAUCUAACUUCCACCACUGGCCGGAUCCAGUCAGAUUCCUCCGACCUGAGAGCCAAGAGCAUUACUGGAGCACCCUGCAGACAACCGUCCGACAAACUUCAUUACAUUGCAGGCAGGUCAGACACAUGGCAGCUACAAAACAUCUUCCAUAGCUGCAGGGAUUUCCUGUCUUGCUCAAGGACACUUCAUCUGUGCGGAUGCUUGCUUUCUCUUAAAUCAAGCCCCUCCAGCUAAAUGACUGUCUUCAGAUUAGCAGCCUGCUGCCCAAAAUUUAACAACAGUAGGCUGCUGUCUUCAUAGUUGCUGAUUAUGGCAUUAGAAGGUUGCCUGAAAAUAACUCGUGUCUUUUCAAAACAGCCCUCAAAUAAUUCACCAGGGAACAGGAGAAGCUGUUGUCUGGUCUCCCCCAGAUGGCAGAGACUCUAGGGUGGCACUGCUUGUUGUUUUUGAUGAGCUGUUCAUAUACAAAAGCAAAACAUCUGGAGCCGCCAUGUGGCCUCUCCAUUUGGCCAACCCCAUACCUCCCCGAGCCAGAUGCACCCAAACAACUGUGAGCUAAACAGCAUGAAUGAUUCAUAGAGGAGCGCGAGGCACGGCUCACACCAGAGACCUGCCAGCCACUUUGAUUGGAAAUCUGAAAAAGCUAUGAAUAUGCACGAGACAUUAAGCCUGCUAGGGGGGAUGAUUUGUCAAAUGAUCUGUAUUUGACCAAUAUAAAGAAAGCUCCUGUGGUUUUCAUGAUUAGAAAAUAAGAAAUUUAAUGUCCAAUUGCCAGAAUCAUUAAAUUAUUAAGAUGUGUAAAUUGUUAGCAAGGUGCUACAGAAAAGUGACUGCAGCUUGGUGCUGGAUUGCUUCCCGUGUCAAAAGAUAAGCAGACAGUGUGGAGGGAGAGGCUUUCACACCUGCUCCAUGACUCAGUUAGAUCAAACUUAAUUAGGUUCAAAAUUGGAGAAUCUUUGCCUCUGAUAUCAAAACAUUUAUGCAGGAAUCUAUCUGUGGAAAUAAAACCAGUCAGUAAAAACUGAGGUUUCCUGUGGAUCAUCACACUCAGUGCUCUUUGGGUAAGUGAUAAAUUAGACUAAUUACAGUUAAUAAUAACCUUUUUGUAAUUUGUAUAUCCAAUGAAGUGAUACAUAUGUUUCAAAAUAUUUUUUUUUAAAUGUAGAGAAUUGUCACACCUGUUUGAUUUGAUUUCAUUUUAGCGUUUCAGGGAUUAAAGUUACAAUAUUUUAGUUGUCAUUAGGGCAAGUUUUAGUAGGUAAGAAUAAUAUUUUAGUUGUGUUUACUUAACAUGAAUGUAAACAUUCAUAGUCCACGCAACAUUUGUGCUUGUCAUAUUGUAUGCAAUGAGAAACGGCUUUUCCUUUUGUACAAAAAAAAUGAAAACUUCUUGUCUUGCCAGACUUUAAUUUGAUGUAUUACUGCCUGAAACAGGCUGCAAAAUUCAGGAAGCUGAGUUUCCAAAGUCACUGUCAGUGUAUGAUAUUGCAGACAUGAAGAGUGACUAAGAAAUCUUCACCUUAAUUAAAUGUUACUUUUGACACAUGGUUUAGUAGGUAUAUGUUAGAUUAACAAACAUUACCCAGCAAGAAAAAAAGAAAAUGGUCAAAUUGCUUCAUUUUAUAAUUUUUUUUGAAGAAGUGUUUUCAUUCAGACUUUGGGACUCAAAGUACUUGGAGUGAGAUCCAGACAUUCACACUCAGAUUUGAGCUUUUCACUUCCCUCAAGGAAAAAAAAUAUUCAAAGUAUUUUUCUUUGCUGGAAACUGGAAUACUCUCUGGUCCUUAAUUUGUUAUUAACAGAAGAUACGCUUUACAGAAUCAAAAGAAUUUAGGUUAUUAUGCAUUUUGCUUCUUAAAAAAAACCUUCUUUACCUUAUUCAUAUGACCCUCAUUUUGUGAAAUGAUUUUUCAGUUCACACUGUAUGUUUAGAGGAGUCAAGAUACCACUUGAAACACGAGAUCACUCCAGCAGUUUCUCUGGUACAUUUUUAUUUAAGACGCAUCAUAAGAACCUACUAUAAAACUCAUUUUACAACACAAUGACAGUGUGGUUCAUCAAGGAUACAGUGGUGCCCCUGUCCUGACCUGUCUGUGUUUUGGUCAUUCCUCUGCACACAGAGUUAUAAUUGAAAUUACAGAUGACAGUUCUGUAUCAAAGCUACCUGUAGACAAAAGAGGCUGAAAAUCUGUGAAGUGUUCCUUUUGAUUUGCAGGGAUUAUAUGGCCUUGUAUUUCAUAACAUAAGUUAACCGUAGUUACUGAUGUUUUUUUUUUCUUAUUCAAGUUUGUACAAAAAGGGAUGUUUGUUACUAACUAGUCUUAUUUUUUGUUG